rnacentral:rRNA from 1 species
GACGAACCGUGCGAACGUUGUUCGGAAUCACUGGGCUUAAAGGGCGCGUAGGCGGCCCGCCGCGUCCGGGGUGAAAUCCUCCCGCUCAACGGGAGAACGGCCUCGGAUACGGGCGGGCUGGAGGCGGGUAGGGGCAGGCGGAACUGUGGGGUGGAGCGGUGAAAUGCGUUGAGAUCCACAGGAACUCCGGUGGCGAAGGCGGCCUGCUGGACCCGAUCUGACGCUGAGGCGCGAAAAGCCAGGGAGGCGAAACGG